rnacentral:rRNA from 1 species
UCGGAGAGGGCGCAUGAGAAACGGCUACCACAUCUAAGGAUGGCAGCAGGCGCGCAAAUUACCCAAUCCUAACUCAGGGAGGUAGUGACAAGAAAUAACAACUUCGGGCUUGCCCGAGAUUGGAAUGAGUACAACGUACAAUCUUUAACGAGUACCAACUGGAGGGCAAGUCUGGUGCCAGCAGCCGCGGUAAUUCCAGCUCCAGUAGCGUAUACUAAAGUUGUUGCAGUUAAAAAGCUCGUAGUUGAAUUUCUGUGUAGUGUACUUGCGGUCUCCGGACCAAUAUAUACUGCACAUCCAUCUGAACAGCACUUCUUGUCAUUCAUUUGUCGGUUGUGUGAUCAGAUACUUUACCUUGAGAAAAAUAGAGUGUUCCAAGCAGGCGUCCGCCUGAAUAAUAAAGCAUGGAAUAAUACAAUAGGACUGGGUUCUAUUGGUGCAUAGAACUUAGUAAUGAUUAAUAGGGACAGUUGGGGGCAUUUGUAUUUAAUUGUCAGAGGUGAAAUUCUUUGAUUUAUUAAAGACAAACCUAUGCGAAAGCAUUUGCCAAGGAUGUUUUCAUUAAUCAAGAACGAAAGUUAAGGGAUCGAAGACGAUCAGAUACCGUCGUAGUCUUAACCAUAAACUAUGCCGACUAGAGAUUGGAGGUGCAAUCUCAAUACUCCUUCAGCAUCUUAGGAGAAAUCAAAGUCUUUGGGUUCUGGGGGUAGUAUGGUCGCAAGACUGAAACUUAAAGGAAUUGACGGAAGGGCACCACAAGGUGUGGAGCCUGCGGCUUAAUUUGACUCAACACGGGGAAACUUACCAGGUCUGGACAUGGGAAGGAUUGACAGAUUGGAGAUCUUUCUUGAUUCCAUGGAUGGUGGUGCAUGGCCGUUCUUAGU